rnacentral:rRNA from 1 species
CCUACGGGGGGCUGCAGUGGGGAAUCUUGCGCAAUGGGCGAAAGCCUGACGCAGCGACGCCGCGUGCGGGAAGAAGGCCUUAGGGUUGUAAACCGCUUUCAGGAGGGACGAAGCCACUCGGGUGAAUAGCCCAGAGGGUGACGGUACCUCCAGAAGAAGCCCCGGCUAACUACGUGCCAGCAGCCGCGGUAAUACGUAGGGGGCAAGCGUGGGCGGGAUUUAUUGGGCGUCAAGCAGGUGUAGGCGGCCUGAAAACUGGAGGCUCAACCUUCAGACGUCGACCGAAACCCCCUGGCUAGAGUCCGGGAGAGGAGAGUGGAAUUCCUGGUGUAGCGGUGGAAUGCGCAGAUAUCAGGAAGAACACCCGUGGCGAAAGCGGCUCUCUGGAACGGUACUGACGCUGAGACGCGAAAGCGUGGGGAGCGAACAGGAUUAGAUACCCUUGUAGUC